rnacentral:rRNA from 1 species
AUACAGAGGGUGCAAGCGUUAAUCGGAAUUACUGGGCGUAAAGCGUACGUAGGCGGUUUGGUAAGUCAGAUGUGAAAGCCCUGAGCUCAACUUGGGAACUGCAUUUGAAACUGCCUGACUAGAGUGUGAUAGAGGAUAGUGGAAUUUCCGGUGUAGCGGUGAAAUGCGUAGAGAUCGGAAGGAACACCAGUGGCGAAGGCGGCUAUCUGGAUCAACACUGACGCUGAGGUACGAAAGCGUGGGGAGCAAACAGGAUUAGAAACCCGAGUAGUCC